UGGAUCAACGGUGCUGGAGACUGAAAUCCUCUAUUUAUCCACAGAACAGAUACUGUUUGGGCAACAGCACUAAGCUUCCUUAUCUCACUAAUACGCUUCACCCUCUGCUUGAAGAAGGGAGAAGAAGAUAAUUCGGACUCCAUGCCCUCCAGCCUCAGAAAAG
ensembl:misc_RNA